UUAAAAUGAUGAUUGGUAAUUUUGUCCAGUUCUGCUACUGAAUAAGCAUGCUGAUAAUUUACCCUUUGCUUACCUUUUACUGAUUA
rnacentral:snoRNA from 1 species